rnacentral:rRNA from 1 species
AUUGAACGCUGGCGGCAUGCUUUACACAUGCAAGUCGAACGGUAACAGGGUGCUUGCACCGCUGACGUGUGGCGAACGGGUGAGUAAUGCGUCGGAACGUGCCGAGUAGUGGGGGAUAACGCAGCGAAAGUUGUGCUAAUACCGCAUACGUACUGAGGUAGAAAGUGGGGGACCUUCGGGCCUCACGCUAUUCGAGCGGCCGACGUCUGAUUAGCUAGUAGGUGAGUUAAAGGCUCACCUAGGCGACGAUCAGUAGCGGGUCUGAGAGGAUGGUCCGCCACACUGGGACUGAGACACGGCCCAGACUCCUACGGGAGGCAGCAGUGGGGAAUUUUGGACAAUGGGCGAAAGCCUGAUCCAGCCAUGCCGCGUGUCUGAAGAAGGCCUUCGGGUUGUAAAGGACUUUUGUCAGGGAGGAAAUCCCUAGUGCUAAUAACACCGGGGGAUGACAGUACCUGAAGAAUAAGCACCGGCUAACUACGUGCCAGCCGCCGCAGUAACAC